AGAAAAAUAGCAGAGGUGAAGACGAGUCUGUAGGAUUUUUUGGGGAAGUUUUUGGAGCUCGGACUUAUUUUUUGUGAAUAUUAGAAGUUUAAGGAAUUAGAAAAAAAAAUUAAUUUAUUUUAGUGUGACACAUGGCGUAAUCAGGGACGUCAACCAGUUGACCGGUAUGCGAGGUCUACGGAUGACAUUGACUUUGUAGGAGUCCAGUGGCAAAACUCGGAUCCGAAACGAACAAGGUCCGCAUGUUGACCUUGAUGGGUCUCGCUGUCCCACAAAGUGCAAAGACAUCGUCAGCCGUUGAUUUGGACCAGUUGACUCCAUCUGAACCAUUGGUUUUGGCAAAAUCCAAUGGUGCAAAUCACACCAUCUCUUAAACUUGAUUUGAUCGAUCUAAAUGGUUUUGAAUUUUCUUUUCAAGUUAAUCAUGUGAAAAUGAGCCUAG
rnacentral:lncRNA from 1 species